rnacentral:rRNA from 1 species
UACAGAGGGUGCAAGCGUUGUUCGGAAUUACUGGGCGUAAAGCGCGUGUAGGCUGCAAUGUAAGUCGGAUGUGAAAGCCCUCAGCUUAACUGAGGAAGUGCAUCUGAUACUGCAUCGCUUGAGUGUCGGAGGGGAUGGCGGAAUUCCCGGUGUAGAGGUGAAAUUCGUAGAUAUCGGGAGGAACACCUGUGGCGAAGGCGGCCAUCUGGACGACGACUGACGCUGAGACGGCGAAAAGCGUGGGUAGCAAACAGG